UAGCCUUUUGACUAGACACCAAUCCUGACAGG
rnacentral:piRNA from 1 species